ensembl:lncRNA
UGCUCAGAUUAGCAUGUCAGAAUAGCUCCAUCUCCGAGUAAGGCUGCGCUGUGCUGUUCUGUGGUUUGCACCGAGCCGUGCUCAGGGCCAGUGGCACUGGUUUCCUGUGCCGGGGCCUCGCAUGGCAGUGGCUGCCAUAUUAGGUAGCGCAGACCUGCGUGACCCAGUCCCAGUUUGCCACUGCUCCUCAACUGCUGCUCUUCCCUUGGACUUUUUUUCUUUCCCAGCAUCACUGAUCUCCUUGCUGUUCCUCAGGAAUCUCAGCAUUUCCUGUCCUAGGACCCUGUUUGUCCAGUUACCUCUUUGGAAUGGUUUUCCUUAGGGUAGCCCCAUGGCUGACUCUGUAUGUCCUCUGGGCCUUUGCCCUGAUGCUGCCUUUUUAGUGGGCUCACCCCCUCCCCUUGACAUUCUUCAGCCUUGCCUGUAUCUCUUCAGGCAGUGUUUUCUUCUCCACCACUUAAUAUACUGCAUAUUUUUUUUUUGGUACUGGGAAUCAAACUCAGGCUCUCAUGCUUGCCAGGCAGGCAAUGUGCCACUGAGCUACAUCCCUGGCCCCAUAUUUCUUAUUAGUACAUUUUUCUCUCUCUCCCCUGUUGAAAUAUAAGCUCCAUAAGAACGGUGAUUUUUUUUUAUUAGUUUUGCUCCCUGCCGUAUUCCAGAGCAUAAAAUAGUGCAGGCACAUAUAACAAAUGGAAGGUGGUUUGUUGAAGAAUUAAUUGGAAUUAAUUAUCCAGAGUGAUUAUUAGUAAGAGCAGUAUAAUUGAGUAUGCUUUAUUGUUUCAGAAUAUCUUAGUAUCAAGCUUAGCAGCUUGAAGUUAUAGCUCAAGUUAGGAUAUUUUGAAAGACCUCACAAAGACGUAUAGAUCCUCAUGGUAGAAAAGUAUCCUAGAUUAUAGUCAUAGAUCUUGAUUCUUGCUUUUUAUAGUCACAUCCACCAGUUUCUGCAAAGGUUUUUGUUGAAAUCCAGUUCAGACAUUUCAGUUUUGCCUGCUGUUAGAUGUUCUCACAAACUCAUCAGAAAAUUUUGUAUAUUUAUAUAUGUUUAAUAAAUGGGUUCAAGACUCCAUUUUGGGAGAUUUUAAAAUAAGUUUGGAUAUUCUCAUUUGAGUGUGUGUAUAGAUAGGAGAUUUCAGAGAUGACGUCCUUACAUAGAGAUAGGCAACAUAAUCACAUAAUGGUGGAAAUGAUUUCUGAGAGCCUGUUUUUAAAAUGCUUUUUCAUGGAAUAGUGGCUUUCUUAGCCACUUAAAAAAUUCCACCUUCAACUUAAAGGGACAGAUUACAUGUUUGUUUGUUUGAAAAUAUUUGUGAAGUAGCAUUCUACUGACAGGCAUUCAUUACAAAAGAGGUCAGCAAUUUUUGAAAUACUUCCUUGAAAUAAAAAGUAUGAUUCCUCCUUGGGUUAGGCAGCUCUUUUUGUACUUUGCCACGAGGUAAUCAGCGCUGGAGUGGCCAGAUGUGUCUCAGGGCUCAGCCCCUCAUUGCUAAGGACCGUCGUUCAUUGUGUUGAAGAUGGCGUUGAGGUUUGCUUGACUGCACCCAUGGACACUGCUCCUGCCCUAAGCAGAACUCCUUUAUUCUAAAUGACAGUGACCACCCACACAAAUUUAAAGAGUGUACGUGUCAUGCAUUAAGUAAUAGUGGAACUUAAUUUCUCAUUUUAAAAAUAAUUAUAAAAAGGCCUUUCUCCUUCAUCUUCAUGGGUCUUCUUACACAGACAGCAGCAUUUCUUCUCUACUGGCCUGGCCUCCCGAGCCCACCUUCAGUCCACGUGAGGUUGGGUCUUGUCUUUCUGCUGAGUUUCACCAGUAUUUAUUGACCCAUAGUGCUGGCAACUGGAUCCAUUCUCUGACCCCAGCCAUAAAGUUACGUUUCUUGGGAAAGAAAGUGCAGUAGCCAUGUUUCUUUGGUAGCUGCCAGAGCCACGUUGUGGUAUUGAAGGCUUUUGUGACAUUAAGAAAAAGAGCUCUAUGGUCUUGUGCUGUUGACUGGCAUCUUUCUCACUCUGGCAGGGGACGAAUGUGGUGGCCAUUGAGCCACUGCCAUGUUUGAUUUAGGAAGUGGGUGUUAGUGUGGAAGGCAGCUGGCAAGGUGCCCGGAAGAACGGCCGUGGAGCUCGAGUCGCUGACGCCCUUCUUUGACAAAGUGGUGAGGAUUAAACUCAGGGACUGAACGCUGGUAGCAUGAGUUGCCAUACGCCAUGUCCUUCUCCAAAGGACUCCUGGCCUCCUGCUAUCACCACUGCUGCCCGCGGGUCAGAGGGACCCUGAGCUUCUGUCUGAGUGGGCUGAGAGGUGGAAGUCUCUGCUGCCUCCCUGUGGGCCUGUGUGUACUCCAGGGCAGUGGGAGCCGCAGCCAGCUGGGAGGCCCUGAGGGUCUGCACGCCCGCUUCCCUCCCACCUCCAGGCUGCGGCUGCCCCCCUUCCUCCUUUUCUGCUGCAGCAUGGACAGGUAAGGGCAGCGUCUUGCUCUUCUAUAGUUUAGCCUUGGGAGCUGUCAGAGAUUUGGUCUUUGACUUGCUGGGGAGGAUGAGCUAGCACGGUGGCAGCCUUCUGUCCCAGGGGUGAGUUAACUGAUUUCUGUCUCCUUUUGUGCCUCACGCACGGCUGCAGGGAAAAGCGACCCAUGCCCACGCCUCCAGGGCUCGCAGCUGGGUCCCUGCUUUUAGCCCAGAGGAGAGGAGAGUGGCGCGUUUGUGGCACCGUAGGUUACUUGUCCCUUUGAAAGUGCUGGGGGACCCCUUCUAGAAGCUGGAGUCAGGAGAGUGAGUUUGUGUUUGAUAAGUCCAGAUCAAAGGGAGGAGAGAGUGGCAGAAACCUCAGAGAGGUGUGGUGGGCGGGGAGGGGACUUGGAUCCUGCGGGCCCAUUCUGGUGUUUGCCCGGGACUUCGGGAGGCUCCGACCGUCCGCUUCACCGGCCCACACGUAUGGAUUCAGUGCUGCUUGGAACAUCGCUUCAGGAGAGGAGAGAAGCAUUCUAAAGCCUUCUGGGGUCCUGGAAAGCUCCUCAGUGGACUCAUCGAGGCGUGGCGGCAGAUCAGCAGGCCCUGGUGCUUGCUGGCCUUUGGAGAAAGGCAGGCUGGCAUCGCUGCUCGGAGCGCCUGUGCUGGAGCCCAGCCUGGGGCCGUGCUCUGCAUGGGUCCUGGAGGGCCUGAGCGUCUGCUCCUCUCCGAGGGAGAAACUUCGACCCCAUCCUCUGCAGAACCCACAGGACUGCAGGCCCAGGUGCACUCUGCGGGCUGGCGGCUGCCAGGCUCCGCUCCCCAUCUGCGUCUGCCUCUGCGUCACCCCUGCCAG